rnacentral:lncRNA from 1 species
CAUCAUUCAUUUCUCUCUGCCUUGCUUCUGUUCUCGCAGCUGCAGCGUCAGCGGUACCCAAACUCUGCCCAGCUGGCACCUUUUCCAGCCUCCCAGGGAGGAGCAAGCUUUCCGAGUGCCAGCCUUGCCCCUCUGGCUUCUACUGCGAAGGACCUGGCCUCAGUGCCCCAACUGGAGAGUGCUGGGAAGGCUAUUACUGUGACAGCCAGCAAGGGCCAGUUAUUGAUGUUACCCUUUACCCGUGCCCGCAAGGUUUUUACUGCCCACCAGGGACGAACAGGAGCACUCAGUACGCCUGCCCUGCAGGAACCUUUGGACCAAGGCAAAAACUGAAAACUCAAAAGGAAUGUCAGAGAUGCCCACCAGGAAAAUACUGUGAAUUCUCUGGACUUGCUGCCCCCACAGGAGACUGUGCUGAGGGAUUCUGGUGCAAAAGUGGUGCCCGAGUAAGAAACCCCCAAGAUGGAGAAUCAGGACUUCCUUGUCCUCCUGGUCAUUAUUGUCCUGAAGGCACUCUGCUUCCGUUGCAGUGCCCUCCUGGCACGUGGUCUGGCAGUGAAGGUAGAAGGAGUGUGCAGGAAUGCCAGCCAUGUCCUGGGGGGUAUUACUGCAACAGCUCUGGGCAGAGGGCACCCUCAGGACACUGCAGCCCAGGGUACUACUGUGUCACUAGAGCCCAGACCCCAGUGCCCACUGAUGGCCUCUCAGGAGCUCCGUGUCCAGUCAGUCACUUUUGUCCUCUUGGAUCCGGGAGUCCAACCCCGUGCCCCCCUGGCUCCCACAUGCCGCACACCCACGGAGAGCAGUGCUAUCCUUGCCCGGUGGGUGAAUUCUGUGUCUCUGGUGAGAAGCCACGGCCAUGUCCCCAGGGUGAGUUAUGGUUCCCACUUAACUGUCUAGUUUGUCUUCGAUUUUCUAGAAGAGAUUCUGAUCUUUCCUUUCUUUUCCAGGUUAUUUCUGUCCCAAGGGCACAGCUUUUCCGAUUGCUUGUCCGGCUGGGUCCUAUAACCCUUCCCAAAGGCAACCCAGCUGCCUCCCCUGUCCUGAAGGCUUCUUCUGCCCCAAGAAUUCGUCUUCCUUUUUGGAGAACGAAUGUUCAGCCGGCCACUACUGCCCUCCCGGUACUGCUUCUGCAACUCAGUUCCCGUGUCCUCAGGGGACUUACAACCCACAGCCUGGAAGCAGCCUGA